GCCUUUGGGCAUUCACACUAAUGGCAUUUAACAUCUCUGGCACUGAGCUAUGGAACUAUAUACAAAAGCCACAUCCACUGGGAGAUGCAGUAGUGCUCUCAUUGUAAGAUGACAUCAUCGACACUGUAUAUAGAAGGCAGUGCACACCUCAGCCUACUUCAGUUCCUUCUCCCUAGCCCGAGGAGUGCAGAAACACAAAGAACGCCUAGGCAGAGGAGAAGGUGGUUGGGUAGUGUGAAUGCACAGAAACAACUCUUGAAGACCACCACUUACCAAGUUCUGCUUGACUUAGCUCAUCCUGCAGUAUUCCAGAAGUGAAUCUACUCUCUGUUCACCCAGAGGAUCCCACCCCUCUUUCCCUCCUGAGUGAAAUGAAUGAAUGAAUCUUCCCCACAAAAUAAGCCAGAUAACAAUUUCAUGUUACAGCCUUUCUGACUGAACAAUCAAGCUAUCACUCUGAGACUGGAGAAAAAAGAGAAGCUUCCACUUUCACUCUAAGUCCCUGUCUACAUGAAGAGAUUCUGAUCUUCCCCAUGUAAUAUACAUUUGCUUAACUAAGGGUUAACUAGUUAUUGCUCAACAGUUCCAUGUGGGAGAACUCUGGUUGAGGUCCUGAUCCCAUCCUCCUGUGGAGACAACAGCUGAGUGGGGAAGGCUGUUUUAUUGUUUAUUGGCAGUAAUGACUUUGAUCAAUUAAGGAAAGGCGCUGAUGGAAUUUCAAGGGAAUCUGAUGAAAUAUUUAUUGGCUGGACGGUUGAAUACAAUAAGAAUCUUUGCAGAAGUCAAAAUGCAUGCUAGAAGGUGAAGGAUGAUGCAGAAGAAUGGUCUGCUCAACUACUGGGCUGAAGAAACAGGAAAGGGCAAAAUUAGGAAACGUAUACUUAGAUGUGGUGUUUACAGCGAAAUGAGUUUCAACAGCAUUCUACCUGAAGUGAUACAACUUUCUGACUGUCAUACUGCAUUUCAAUAAAGAUCUGUUUUUGAAACUGUAAA